rfam:Microgenomates bacterium 39_7 MPI_scaffold_2345, whole genome shotgun sequence.
UUGGUUGGAUGAACUACUUUUCAUCGAACCAAUUAAGGGAACUCUAUAAGGAGGUAUACCAUGGCACUAUCUAAAGGCCAAAAAACAGCAAUUAUUAAAGAGUACCAACUUUUCGAA